UUGAUAUUUAGUUUGCUUGUUAGUGGUAAUCAAUAUGGAACUCAAAUUAUGGGUUCUAAUAGCGCUCUUGCCUAUGUUGGUUACAACAAUCAAUGCUCAACUUCUGCCAUGCAUAAGACUUCCCAUAUUUGGCACACCAAUAUUUUGCCCAUCUCCUCCACCACCACCUAGGUCUCCGCCACCACCAUCACCACCUCCACCUCCUCCAUCUCCACCACCACCGCCACCUCCUCCAUCUCCACCACCGCCUUCACCUCCACCUCCAUCCCCUCCUCCACCUCCACCAUCACCUCCACCACCUUCCCCUCCCCCGCCUUCACCUCCCCCACCCCCAACCCUUCCUCCUCCACCAACGUCACCACCUCCCCCUCCGCGUUCACUUGUUUGCACGAUAUUACCUCUCCCAUUACUUUGCCCAACCCCACCUGCACCACCUCCACCUCCGCGUACUCCACUUCUUUGCACAGUAUUACCUCGAGCAAUAUUUUGCCCAUCCCCACCACCACCUGUCUGAUUGAUCUCUAUGAUCAACCUCUAUCACACUAAAAAGUACUAUUGUUGCUUUCCAACCCCUCUUUCAACAAUAAUAAUUUUCUUAUGCACGUUAAAUAAUAAAUUUCCUUGGUAAUUAGUAAUCUUUCUUCGAUGGAAAAAUUACUAGCUAAUAAGUG
rnacentral:lncRNA from 1 species